rnacentral:rRNA from 1 species
GGGUUGUGAGGUUAAGCGACUAAGCGUACACGGUGGAUGCCCUGGCAGUCAGAGGCGAUGAAGGACGUGCUAAUCUGCGAUAAGCGUCGGUAAGGUGAUAUGAACCGUUAUAACCGGCGAUUUCCGAAUGGGGAAACCCAGUGUGUUUCGACACACUAUCAUUAACUGAAUCCAUAGGUUAAUGAGGCGAACCGGGGGAACUGAAACAUCUAAGUACCCCGAGGAAAAGAAAUCAACCGAGAUUCCCCCAGUAGCGGCGAGCGAACGGGGAGCAGCCCAGAGCCUGAAUCAGUGUGUGUGUUAGUGGAAGCGUCUGGAAAGGCGCGCGAUACAGGGUGACAGCCCCGUACACAAAAAUGCACAUGCUGUGAGCUCGAUGAGUAGGGCGGGACACGUGGUAUCCUGUCUGAAUAUGGGGGGACCAUCCUCCAAGGCUAAAUACUCCUGACUGACCGAUAGUGAACCAGUACCGUGAGGGAAAGGCGAAAAGAACCCCGGCGAGGGGAGUGAAAAAGAACCUGAAACCGUGUACGUACAAGCAGUGGGAGCACGCUUAGGCGUGUGACUGCGUACCUUUUGUAUAAUGGGUCAGCGACUUAUAUUCUGUAGCAAGGUUAACCGAAUAGGGGAGCCGAAGGGAAACCGAGUCUUAACUGGGCGUUAAGUUGCAGGGUAUAGACCCGAAACCCGGUGAUCUAGCCAUGGGCAGGUUGAAGGUUGGGUAACACUAACUGGAGGACCGAACCGACUAAUGUUGAAAAAUUAGCGGAUGACUUGUGGCUGGGGGUGAAAGGCCAAUCAAACCGGGAGAUAGCUGGUUCUCCCCGAAAGCUAUUUAGGUAGCGCCUCGUGAAUUCAUCUCCGGGGGUAGAGCACUGUUUCGGCAAGGGGGUCAUCCCGACUUACCAACCCGAUGCAAACUGCGAAUACCGGAGAAUGUUAUCACGGGAGACACACGGCGGGUGCUAACGUCCGUCGUGAAGAGGGAAACAACCCAGACCGCCAGCUAAGGUCCCAAAGUCAUGGUUAAGUGGGAAACGAUGUGGGAAGGCCCAGACAGCCAGGAUGUUGGCUUAGAAGCAGCCAUCAUUUAAAGAAAGCGUAAUAGCUCACUGGUCGAGUCGGCCUGCGCGGAAGAUGUAACGGGGCUAAACCAUGCACCGAAGCUGCGGCAGCGACGCUGAUGCGUUGUUGGGUAGGGGAGCGUUCUGUAAGCCUGUGAAGGUGUGCUGUGAGGCAUGCUGGAGGUAUCAGAAGUGCGAAUGCUGACAUAAGUAACGAUAAAGCGGGUGAAAAGCCCGCUCGCCGGAAGACCAAGGGUUCCUGUCCAACGUUAAUCGGGGCAGGGUGAGUCGACCCCUAAGGCGAGGCCGAAAGGCGUAGUCGAUGGGAAACAGGUUAAUAUUCCUGUACUUGGUGUUACUGCGAAGGGGGGACGGAGAAGGCUAUGUUGGCCGGGCGACGGUUGUCCCGGUUUAAGCGUGUAGGCUGGUUUUCCAGGCAAAUCCGGAAAAUCAAGGCUGAGGCGUGAUGACGAGGCACUACGGUGCUGAAGCAACAAAUGCCCUGCUUCCAGGAAAAGCCUCUAAGCAUCAGGUAACAUCAAAUCGUACCCCAAACCGACACAGGUGGUCAGGUAGAGAAUACCAAGGCGCUUGAGAGAACUCGGGUGAAGGAACUAGGCAAAAUGGUGCCGUAACUUCGGGAGAAGGCACGCUGAUAUGUAGGUGAAGUCCCUCGCGGAUGGAGCUGAAAUCAGUCGAAGAUACCAGCUGGCUGCAACUGUUUAUUAAAAACACAGCACUGUGCAAACACGAAAGUGGACGUAUACGGUGUGACGCCUGCCCGGUGCCGGAAGGUUAAUUGAUGGGGUCAGCGCAAGCGAAGCUCUUGAUCGAAGCCCCGGUAAACGGCGGCCGUAACUAUAACGGUCCUAAGGUAGCGAAAUUCCUUGUCGGGUAAGUUCCGACCUGCACGAAUGGCGUAAUGAUGGCCAGGCUGUCUCCACCCGAGACUCAGUGAAAUUGAACUCGCUGUGAAGAUGCAGUGUACCCGCGGCAAGACGGAAAGACCCCGUGAACCUUUACUAUAGCUUGACACUGAACAUUGAGCCUUGAUGUGUAGGAUAGGUGGGAGGCUUUGAAGUGUGGACGCCAGUCUGCAUGGAGCCGACCUUGAAAUACCACCCUUUAAUGUUUGAUGUUCUAACGUUGACCCGUAAUCCGGGUUGCGGACAGUGUCUGGUGGGUAGUUUGACUGGGGCGGUCUCCUCCUAAAGAGUAACGGAGGAGCACGAAGGUUGGCUAAUCCUGGUCGGACAUCAGGAGGUUAGUGCAAUGGCAUAAGCCAGCUUGACUGCGAGCGUGACGGCGCGAGCAGGUGCGAAAGCAGGUCAUAGUGA